AAAUACCAUCCGAAGCUGUCAAACAUAUGAAUCCGAUUGUAUUGAUCAAAAGAAUUUCACAAGACAUUAUAGACUACUAUAUGUCUAGUAAAAAAACUAAUGCAGACGAAAUAGUAAAUAAUUUUGGUGAACAAGAAAAUGUAAGAAUUAACAAUUCUUAUCCGAUUGUAUUGAUCGAAAGAAUUCCACAAGACAUUAUAGACUAUUAUAUGUCUAGUAAAAAAACUAAUGCAGACGAAAUAGUAAAUAAU